AGAGUUUGAUCAUGGCUCAGGACGAACGCUGGCGGCGCGCCUAAUACAUGCAAGUCGAACGGGCACCCUUCGGGGUGCCAGUGGCGGACGGGUGAGUAACACGUGGGUGACCUGCCCUGGAGUGGGGAAUAACGCUGCGAAAGCAGCGCUAAUACCGCAUAGGCUCAAUUCUUCGCUGAGUUGAGUAAAGCCUUGUGCGCUUCAGGAGGGGCCUGCGGCCGAUUAGCUAGUCGGGGGGGUAAUGGCCCACCGAGGCAUCGAUCGGUAGCUGGUCUGAGAGGAUGAUCAGCCACACUGGGACUGAGACACGGCCCAGACUCCUACGGGAGGCAGCAGUGGGGAAUAUUGGACAAUGGGGGCAACCCUGAUCCAGCCAUGCCGCGUGAGUGAUGAAGGCCUUCGGGUUGUAAAGCUCUUUUGGCGGGGACGAUGAUGACGGUACCCGCAGAAUAAGCCCCGGCUAACUUCGUGCCAGCAGCCGCGGUAG
rnacentral:rRNA from 1 species